ACCCAAUAGAUACCCGGGUAGUCCCAGCUGUAAACGAUGCAGACUAGGUGUUUGGACGGCCACGUGCCGUUCUAGUGCCGCAGGGAAGCUGUUAAGUCUGCCGCCUGGGGAGUACGAUCGCAAGAUUGAAACUUAAAGGAAUUGGCGGGGGAGCACCACAAGGGGUGAAGCUUGCGGUUUAAUUGGAGUCAACGCCGGAAAUCUCACCGGGAGCGACAGCAGUAUGAAAGCCAGAUUGAAGGUCUUGCUAGACGAGCUGAGAGGAGGUGCAUGGCCGUCGCCAGUUCGUGCCGUAAGGUGUCCUGUUAAGUCAGGCAACGAUCGAGACCCGCGUCCUCUGUUGCAACCAGUUUUGUGCUGGGCACACUGAGGAGACCGCCACUGAUAAAGUGGAGGAAGGAGCGGGCCACGGCAGGUCAGUAUGCCCCGAAUCUCCCGGGCCACACGCGAGCUGCAAUGGCAAGUACAAUGGGUUCCGACCUCGAAAGGGGAGGCAAUCUCGAAAGCUUGCCGUAGUUGGAAUUGAGGGUUGUAACCC
rnacentral:rRNA from 1 species